rnacentral:rRNA from 1 species
AUUGAACGCUGGCGGUAGGCCUAACACAUGCAAGUCGAACGGUAGCACAGAGAGCUUGCUCUCGGGUGACGAGUGGCGGACGGGUGAGUAAUGUCUGGGAAACUGCCCGAUGGAGGGGGAUAACUACUGGAAACGGUAGCUAAUACCGCAUAACGUCGCAAGACCAAGGUGGGGGACCUUCGGGCCUCACACCAUCGGAUGUGCCCAGAUGGUAUUAGCUAGUAGGUGGGGUAAUGGCUCACCUAGGCGACGAUCCCUAGCUGGUCUGAGAGGAUGACCAGCCACACUGGAACUGAGACACGGUCCAGACUCCUACGGGAGGCAGCAGUGGGGAAUAUUGCACAAUGGGCGCAAGCCUGAUGCAGCCAUGCCGGGUGUAUGAAGAAGGCCUUCGGGUUGUAAAGUACUUUCAGCGGGGAGGAAGGCGGUGAAGUUAAUAGCUUCACCGAUUGACGUUACCCGCAGAAGAAGCACCGGCUAACUCCGUGCCAGCCGCCGCGGUAA